AGAGUUUGAUCCUGGCUCAGAUUGAACGCUGGCGGCAGGCCUAACACAUGCAAGUCGAACGGUAACAGGAAACAGCUUGCUGUUUCGCUGACGAGUGGCGGACGGGUGAGUAAUGUCUGGGAAACUGCCUGAUGGAGGGGGAUAACUACUGGAAACGGUAGCUAAUACCGCAUAACGUCGCAAGACCAAAGAGGGGGACCUUCGGGCCUCUUGCCAUCGGAUGUGCCCAGAUGGGAUUAGCUAGUAGGUGGGGUAACGGCUCACCUAGGCGACGAUCCCUAGCUGGUCUGAGAGGAUGACCAGCCACACUGGAACUGAGACACGGUCCAGACUCCUACGGGAGGCAGCAGUGGGGAAUAUUGCACAAUGGGCGCAAGCCUGAUGCAGCCAUGCCGCGUGUAUGAAGAAGGCCUUCGGGUUGUAAAGUACUUUCAGCGGGGAUGAAGGGAGUAAAGUUAAUACCUUUGCUCAUUGACGUUACCCGCAGAAGAAGCACCGGCUAACUCCGUGCCAGCAGCCGCGGUAAUACGGAGGGUGCAAGCGUUAAUCGGAAUUACUGGGCGUAAAGCGCACGCAGGCGGUUUGUUAAGUCAGAUGUGAAAUCCCCGGGCUCAACCUGGGAACUGCAUCUGAUACUGGCAAGCUUGAGUCUCGUAGAGGGGGGUAGAAUUCCAGGUGUAGCGGUGAAAUGCGUAGAGAUCUGGAGGAAUACCGGUGGCGAAGGCGGCCCCCUGGACGAAGACUGACGCUCANGUGCGAAAGCGUGNGGAGCAAACAGGAUUAGAUACCCUGG
rnacentral:rRNA from 1 species